CCCCAAAAAAGAAAUGAUGGAGUAAGACAUUGUCGGUUAAAUCCUUAGAUGGAUUGCAUUCAUUCCUAAGUAUAAAAAGGUUCACUUGCACGCUGAAGUGCAUAAUCUGAUCCGAAACUUGAACGGUAGAAGAUACGAGAACGUCCAGUAACAAAGAUGGCAAAUUUACUAUUCCUAACAACUAUGAUGCUGGUUUUCGCGUCUGUAUUCUGCGCUCCGCAGUUCGUUCAACCAGUUCACCCAAUUCAACAUCUUCCGGCUUCUGAUGCUUACUUUCCGCCAGGUGGACAUCCGCUUCUCGGUGGGCUCCCACUUCUCGGUGGCCUGAACCUGGGAGGAGGCGGAUUGCUUGGCCCGCUUUUUAGUCUAGUGCUUGGUAGACCAGGACUUCAAAUUUGAAUUGAUUGUGCAGUGGAAAAACUAAAUAAUGACAAAUUUUACGGAUUGAUUGAUUAAAUUUUCAUAAUUUUUCA